AGAGUUUGAUCCUGGCUCAGGACGAACGCUAGCGGCGCGCUUGACACAUGCAAGUCGAGCGAGGUGUCUCUUUCGGGAGAUAACCGAGCGGCGAACGGGUGAGUAACACGUGAGUAAUCUACUCUGGACUCGGGGAUAACCCUGGGAAACCGGGGCUAAUACCGGAUAGCCGUCUUCUCGGGCAUCCGGGGGGACGGAAAGGUGCCGUGCUGUGAGGUGCGGUGCCCGGUCCGGAAUGGGCUCGCGGCCCAUCAGCUGGUUGGUGGGGUCAGGGCCUACCAAGGCGACGACGGGUAGCCGGCCUGAGAGGGUGAUCGGCCACACUGGGACUGAGACACGGCCCAGACUCCUACGGGAGGCAGCAGUGGGGAAUCUUGCGCAAUGGGCGAAAGCCUGACGCGGCGACGCCGCGUGGGGGAGGACGGCCUUCGGGUUGUAAACCUCUUUCAGCCCUGACAAAGGUGAUGGUAGGGGCAGAAGAAGCGCCGGCUAACUACGUGCCAGCAGCCGCGGUAAUACGUAGGGCGCGAGCGUUGUCCGGAGUUACUGGGCGUAAAGGGCUCGUAGGCGGUGUGUCGCGUCAGCCGUGAAAUCCUGCGGCUCAACCGCGGACGGGCGGCCGAUACGGGCACACUUGAGGGCGGUAGAGGCAAGCGGAAUUCCCGGUGUAGCGGUGAAAUGCGCAGAUAUCGGGAGGAACACCGACGGCGAAGGCAGCUUGCUGGGCCGUGCCUGACGCUGAGGAGCGAAAGCGUGGGGAGCGAACAGGAUUAGAUACCCUGGUAGUCCACGCCGUAAACGUUGGGCGCUAGGUGUGGGGACCGUCGUGGUUUCCGUGCCACAGCUAACGCGUUAAGCGCCCCGCCUGGGGAGUACGGCCGCAAGGCUAAAACUCAAAGGAAUUGACGGGGGCCCGAACAAGCGGCGGAGCAUGUGGAUUAAUUCGAUGCAACGCGAAGAACCUUACCUGGGUUUGACAUCCAUCGGAUCGCCUCAGAGAUGGGGUUUCCCUUGGGGCCGGUGGACAGGUGGUGCAUGGCUGUCGUCAGCUCGUGUCGUGAGAUGUUGGGUUAAGUCCCGCAACGAGCGCAACCCUUGUCCCGUGUUACCAGCAAUGUGGUUGGGGACUCACGGGAGACUGCCGAGGUAACUCGGAGGAAGGUGGGGACGACGUCAAGUCAUCAUGCCCCUGAUGCCCAGGGCUUCACACAUGCUACAAUGGCCGGUACAGAGGGUGGCGAUCCCGCAAGGGUGGGCGAAUCUCGCAAAGCCGGUCGUAGUUCGGAUCGGGGUCUGCAACUCGACCCCGUGAAGGCGGAGUCGCUAGUAAUCGCAGAUCAGCAACGUUGCGGUGAAUACGUUCCCGGGCCUUGUACACACUGCCCGUCACGUCAUGAAAGUCGGUAACACCCGAAGCCCAUGGCCCAACCGGAUGCGUCCGGCAGGAGUGGUCGAAGGUGGGACUGGCGAUUGGGACGAAGUCGUAACAAGGUAACC
rnacentral:rRNA from 1 species